AUUGAACGCUGGCGGAAUGCUUUACACAUGCAAGUCGAACGGCAGCAUAGAGAGCUUGCUCUCUGAUGGCGAGUGGCGAACGGGUGAGUAAUAUAUCGGAACGUGCCUAGUAAUGGGGAAUAACUAGCUGAAAGGUUAGCUAAUGCCGCAUACGACCUACGGGUGAAAGCAGGGGAUCUUCGGACCUUGCGUUAUUAGAGCGGCCGAUAUCUGAUUAGCUUGUUGGUGGGGUAAUGGCCUACCAAGGCGACGAUCCCUAGCUGGUUUGAGAGGAUGAUCAGCCACACUGGAACUGAGACACGGUCCAGACUCCUACGGGAGGCAGCAGUGGGGAAUAUUGGACAAUGGGCGCAAGCCUGAUCCAGCCAUGCCGCGUGUGUGAAGAAGGCCUUCGGGUUGUAAAGCACUUUCAGCGAGGAGGAAGGGUGUUGUGUUAAUAGCACAGCAUUUUGACGUUACUCGCAGAAGAAGCACCGCUAACU
rnacentral:rRNA from 1 species